AUUACUUAGCUACGAAGGGAGUAGCAGUAAGUUGGCAAGACCAUUUUGGUUUUCUACUAUUGUAGGUCAGCCAUGAUGUCACUUAGGUAAUUGACAUCAGCACGUACGUACUAUAGUCGGUUCAGUAGGCUAUAUAAAGGACCGAUGCCCGUCGCUGUAAGAUCAUUCCAUUCCAAUCAAAGCAAGGCAAUCAGCCUCAAGCAGUACUCCUCUUGGUGUGUGUGUAUGUGUCUUGUGUUGCACUAGUGAGUACGUAUGUUACUAGUGAGUUGAGUGCAAGUACUACCGUUAGAUAGUCAGGACCCUCUGGUCUCAGUAGUUCUGGGCUAACAACGCGCCGGUGCCCAGGCGCCUUGCAUCCAUCUACAGCGAGGUGCAGACGAGCCGCAUCGCGCACACGCUGCCCCUCCCCUCCGUCCUCCGCUCCCACUUCACGCUCGCCGACGAGCCGGCCAGCACCGCCGCUAGAAGCCCCGACGAGAUAGCCAAGCUGUUCUCCAGCCUGCACGGCCGCUGUCCACGGCCGUGCUGCCGUCGGCCGAGCCCGUCGCGACGAAGCCGCUCAAGAUAGGCAUCGUGCUUCCUGGUGGCCAGGUUCCAGGGGGACAAUGGAUCGACUUCUUUGUGUAACAGAUUACCUGCAGGAGGGUGCCAAAGGCAGCACCAUGUAUGGAUUAAGGGAGGCCCGCUGGUGUCAUGAAGGGCAACUACGUCGAGCUGACUGCUGAUUUCGUGUACCCCUACGGAAACCAGUCGUCAGAGAUUCAGAAUUCUUGCUGUAUCAUGGGUGCACUAUCAGAGAUGGUGAAUGCUUUAGACGCUCUAAACUUUUUUUCCCGGGGGGAGGGGGCCUGAGAGGGGUUAGCUUCUAUUGGUUCCUCUGUUCACUUUUUUUUUCUGACGAGAGGUUCUGCAAGUUCCCUCAGUGAAGCCUUAUGUCCAAGAAUAAAUUACCUACGUUUGAGUGCGAGUAAUGUACAACAGUUUGUAAUUUUUCAUUUGUAUUUUUUCCUCGAACAAGAAUUGGUGGUUGGUAUUCAGUUAUUUUUUAUAUGCCGACAAUGUUUUUUCUGCAUAUCGAUUAACUGUCCGUUUACAUAAAGAAAGAAGUUUGUGAUUCUCUGAGCCAA